GAGUGAGAGGGAAGAGCCCAAGAUUGAAAGCUGGCGUCUUCGGCGUCCGCAUUGUAAUCUCAAGAAGUGUUUUCCGCUUCGGACCAUGCCUAAGUCCCUUGGAAAGGGGCAUCAUAGAGGGUGAUAAUCCCGUACAUGGCUUGGAGCGCCCGAGGCUUUGUGAUACGCUUUCUAAGAGUCGAGUUGUUUGGGAAUGCAGCUCAAAAUGGGUGGUAAAUGCCAUCUAAGGCUAAAUAUUGGGGAGAGACCGAUAGCGAACAAGUACAGUGAUGGAAAGAUGAAAAGAACUUUGAAAAGAGAGUUAAACAGUACGUGAAAUUGCCAAAAGGGAAGGGUAGGAGGUCAGAGAUGCGGCCUGGGAUUCAGCCUUGCUUUUGCUUGGUGUUUUUCCCAGAUUGCAGGCCAACGUCGGUUUUGGGCACUGGAGAAGGGUAGGAGGAACGUGGCACCUCUCGGGGUGUGUUAUAGCCUCCUACUGGAUACAGCGACCGAGACCGAGGACAGCAGCGUACUCGCAAGAGCGGGCCUUCGGGCACCUUUACGCUUAGGGCGUUGGCAUAAUGGCCCUCUACCACCCGUC
rnacentral:rRNA from 1 species